rnacentral:rRNA from 1 species
UGUAAUAUAUGUGAAAAGGAAACAGAGGACGAGUACCAUGCUACGGUCGCAUGCACCAAGGCCAGGGCGCUCCGCAUGGAGAUGAGAAAGGUCUGGGACCUACCGGCAGAAGAGAAGUUCAAAUAUACAGGGGUGGAUUGGCUACAACUGCUGCUGGACACAUGCAGUAUGGACGUACGGCAGAAAAUCAUGCUCUUGCUGUGGCGCGCAUGGUGGCUACGUGAGGACUGCAUUCAUGCAAAAGGAAGAGCGACGAUUGGG